AAUUUCUCUGAGCACACUGUGUUUCUUUUCGCACUUUUUUUUGUGAGAAUUUAAUAUCUAAUUUUUAAAAAAAACCCAAAAACGUUUCUUUUCUUCUCCGACUUGGCGUGGACGGAAAAUCUGGCCGCCGAUCAGUGGAGAUCAGUUUCAGAAAAAGCCAGCCAGUCACAGAAGAAAUUAGGCGCGAUGAUGAAUUCAGUCUGAUUUUUUGCUUUUGAAAUGGGAGUUCUUCUAUGACCUGAGAUUUUGCAAUUUUAGACGGAAGGUUCUAGAUGUCUUUUCAGAACAACAUCUUUUGGUUGCCCAAUGGCUCUGGUUCUGUGGCUAAUGGGGAGAUCUGUUAUGAAACUUCAACAAGAAUUGAUCAAAAACGUCCUCAUCAGUAUUUUAUGGAUUCUUCUGAGCAGGAGUUAGUUGUUAGCAAGAAGCAAGCAGUAGAGCCUUUUAAAGGAACUUCAGGACCUGUAGUUAUGGAAAGUUCUUUUUGGCAUGAUGGUUCCCACUUUCAGUCUGAAAGUCUAAUGCCGAGCCUGUUCACCCCCAAGCCGGUGCGGAGUUCUAAUUUGUCUGAUAAUAAUAAUCCCCCCGUUACGGCUUCCAUGAAUAUGGAAAGGAAGGAACCAGGGAACCAAUUUGGAAAUGACUCAUCGGUUUGUUUAACCAUGUCUCAUGCAGUCAAUGACACUUUGUGCCUGAACUCCGGACCUAGGAAAGUAAAAGUCAGUGAGGUAAGGAUACCAGAGAAUUGUUUGCCUGAGUUUGUCGGAAGUACCUUUACCCUUGGUGAGAAGAAUGAUACUAUGACAAGCACAUUUCAAAGGACUAGCAAUAACAUGUUUACUGGACCUAGUUAUAAUACUGAAUUGGGAAAUGCUAUUUCAGUGGAUCCUGCUUACAGUAAGCUAGACAAAAAUUUUGUUUCAGUUGGGAACUCCUCCAGCAAGAGAGAUGGAAAUUUUAUGCUCUCCAGUCAGUACUACAAUGGGAUGGAUAACAAUGUGCUGUCUAUUGGUCAGGCCUUCAACAGAGGGAAUUACAACAUUAAUGCCCUAGGAGAGCAGUAUGAAAAGGAAAAUGGAAAUUUUUCAUCAGUUUGUCCUACAUACAAUGGGGUCCAUGAGAAUCUAUUUGCAUUGGAGCCUUUCUACAGUAAAGUAAAUGAGACUUUCAUAUCUGCAGGUCCCAAUAAGGGGGAGACUCAUAUUGCUUUUCAAGGUGAGCAGGAUGCAACUGUUGCUUUAGGAGAUCUCUACAAUAAAGAAAAUUCGAGCAUCCUUUCAAUGGUUGAGCACUCUAGGAAGGGUGAGGAAACUACCAUAUCUUUCGGAGGCUUUCAGAAUAAUGUUGAAGAGAGGGAUAACUCUGGAAGGCUCAUAAGUAGCUAUGAUGUUUUGCUAAAUCAAUCCUCUGCUCAGUCUUCUGGGGCACUGGGGCAAAAAGAUUCUACAGAUCAGCUAAGUGACAAUGCUGUCUCGGCAUCUUCUUUGCAGCCUGAUGGUGCGCCUAAGAAUAAGGAUCAAAAGACCAAAAAAGGAUCGUCAAAUAACUUUCCUUCAAAUGUUAAAAGCUUGUUGUCCACUGGCAUUCUUGAUGGGGUUCCAGUGAAAUAUGUUUCAUGGUCAAGAGAGAAAAAUCUUAGAGGAGUGGUAAAAGGGACUGGUUACUUGUGUAGCUGCCAGGAUUGCAAGCUUUCCAAGACCAUCAAUGCAUAUGAGUUUGAGCGCCAUGCUGAUUGCAAAACCAAACACCCUAACAACCAUAUUUACUUUGAGAACGGGAAAACAAUUUACGCAGUGGUUCAAGAACUGAAGAGCACCCCUCAGGAAAUGCUCUUUGACGUGAUACAAAAUGUAACAGGAUCUGCAGUCAAUCUGAAAAACUUCAAUAUUUGGAAAGCAUCAUAUCAAGCUGCAACCCGAGAACUUCAACGUAUUUAUGGGAAGGAUGACUUGGUUGCGCCAUCCUGAUAUGUUAUCUUUCAUGUUAUCAAGCUCUUGUUACAAUCUGCAUACUGGGUAGAUCAGAAGGGCUGAUCUCCAUCAGAGAGUGGAGAGGAAGAGAGAUGGGAAUCGAACCUCUCGAAGGCAAAGGCAAAAGGUGCUACAACAACAGCAGCAGCGAUAUUUCUGUAGACUGCAAAGGUGUAAUGACUCAUUCCCUUGUCCAGAGCUGACUUUGCUAUUAUACCUAAACCUGCAUACCCAAACUGCAACAAUAUUGCAGCCAAAUAUGGUCUCAGCUUUCUCACUAAUUUACUAUCCAUCUGUGUGUGUUUGUGUUUAAUGUAAACUACUCUCAGGUUUAAUGAUAUUGAUGCAUGUAUGUAUAAAUGUGUGUGUACCUUAUGAAUAUGAAUGAGUAUAUAUAUACAUAUUGUGGUUUGGA